GACCAGACCCGUGGAGACCUGACUAUCGUCCAGCUUGGUUUGACAGACAAGGGCAAGUACAAGGUCACCAUGACACCCAAAGCUGGAACGGCUGAGGAGAAGACUUUCACAGUCAUAGUCACUGCUCGCGGGGGUCAACGCUGUUCGCUUUCGCUGCCGCUGAUGGCCAUUUGCAGCGUGAGCCUGAUGUGGUGGUUCUAGACGAGCUGAAUGGGAUCUUCGUCCAUCCGUCCGUCCACAUUCUCUUCCUGAUGACUCGGCUAAUGACAGGAGGACCCUCC